rnacentral:misc_RNA from 1 species
UUUCCGUAGGUGAACCUGCGGAAGGAUCAUUACAGAGUUCAUGCCCGAAAGGGUAGACCUCCCACCCUUGUGUAUUAUUACUUUGUUGCUUUGGCGAGCGCAAGCCCGCCAGAGAAUACCAAAACUCUUUUUAUUAAUGUCGUCUGAGUACUAUAUAAUAGUUAAAACUUUCAACAACGGAUCUCUUGGUUCUGACAUCGAUGAAGAACGCAGC